UUGUUGAUGGCUGGGCCCUAGAAAUCUUAUUGAAGCAUUAUCGGAAAGCUUUUACUGAAUUGGCAAUAUUGUCAAGGACUGCAAUAUGUUGCCGUGUGACACCAUCACAAAAAGCACAGCUUGUGGAGCUCUUGAAAUCAUGUGACUAUAGAACAUUGGCUAUCGGAGAUGGUGGGAAUGAUGUGAGAAUGAUACAACAAGCUGACAUUGGAGUUGGCAUUAGUGGGAGAGAAGGACUGCAGGCAGCAAGGGCGGCUGAUUAUAGUAUUGGAAAGUUCAGGUUUCUGAAACGACUGAUACUUGUCCAUGGGCGAUAUUCAUACAAUCGAACAGCAUUUCUGUCUCAAUAUUCCUUUUAUAAAUCCCUACUGAUAUGUUUCAUCCAAAUCUUCUUCUCUUUUAUUUCAGGUGUUUCUG
rnacentral:misc_RNA from 1 species